GCUCCGCAGUCGGACGCAUGCGGCAGUGGGAGCGGGGCGGAGCAGCGCGGGCGGAGCCGCAGGGAGCGGCAGUGGCGCUGAGCAGGCUGCAGCGGAAUGGCGGCGAGCACAGAGCGGCAGGCAGGCAGGCGGGCAGGGCGUUUCGGGCCAGAGGGAAGCCUCCCGCGUUCCCCGGCAGAGCUGCGUUCUUUGUCUCUCGCAGCAGAGGAGUUUGGGCAGCUGCAGGGAUGGAUUUGCCUGCACUCAAGCUGCUGCUGCCAGAGCCCCUCCGUGUCAAUCUGUGCUGCCGUUGGGUUCUGCAGCUCUCUCCAGCAAGCAUGGCAUGAGCUGAAGGAGCAGCAGGAGCAGCAUGGCCGUUCCCCAGGCAGCAGGAGGGUUCAGCCCAGCACCAGCUCAUGCGGGAGGAGCAGAUGCUGAGGAACAUCCCCCACGAGACGCAGGUGGCCAAAGAGGCUGGGUCAGGAGAGUCCCAUUUCAUUCUUGAUGCUUUCUUUAAGAGAGGCAUACAACUGAGCUCCCUCAGAGAAGCAGCAUGAAGUGCAUGAAGGAUGCUGGCUGCACUCAGUACAGACAAGGCACAUUGGAGUAGGUUAACAAGAUGCUUGACAUUUGCCCUUAAUGGUCAUUGUCUUCAAAUGCAUCAUUCGGGAGUGAAGUUGCUUGGCAUUUGCAGUUGACUACUUCUUCUCUGGCCUUUGGAGUGAAGGAAGGGAAAAACCAGAGUUGAAGAUGUCAGCUCUGUGCCAAAAAGGAGACCUUCUUCACCUGCUUCUCCUGUGCAAGCUCUUCUGUCUGUCUGCUGAGAUGUUUCUGCCUGUUUCUCUGGCAGAGAAGUGUUUGCUUUUUUGGCUGGCGAGCUGACCAUCCGUACUACCGUCGCCUUGAAUGCCUCCAACCAGCAGUGUUUGCUGCCAGACAGACACCUGGAGAAGACAGAGGACAUGGUUAAGUUCAUGAAGGAUAUCUUGGAUGGUGCUGCUGAAGCACAGGCUGGUGAUGGACUUCUGCAACGAAGCAAGAGAGUCCUCUAUGAGGCCAAGGCUGCUGUAAUGGUAGAGUUCAUUGCUUAUUCAGUGAGGUGAUGCUCUUGUCAGUCAAGAAGGACUUAGUUGCAGAGGCUUUAGAAAUGCUUUGAUGUAAGCUUGUUGCUAUGCUGUGCCUAGUGUAUCUAUUGUCACUAUUUAGAACUAGGCUUAAACCAAAUGAACUUCUGGAUUAAAACAGCCAAUCAUGUCUGCCACA